GUGAUUAAUCGAGCGUGUCUUCAUUGACCGCUCACCCUUCUCACCAUCCACAUACACAUGUGCACUGUUUUAGCCUGAGCCGGUUUUCCGGUCCAGGUUAUCAUUUCAUACAAACUCUAGUCUUAUGAAUGUAAACGUUUUAAUAACAUAAUA
rnacentral:misc_RNA from 1 species